rnacentral:rRNA from 1 species
AGAUUGAACGCUGGCGGCAGGCCUAACACAUGCAAGUCGAGCGGUAGAGAGGUGCUUGCAUCUCUUGAGAGCGGCGGACGGGUGAGUAAUGCCUAGGAAUCUGCCUAGUGGUGGGGGAUAACGUUCGGAAACGGACGCUAAUACCGCAUACGUCCUACGGGAGAAAGCGGGGGACCUUCGGGCCUCGCGCCAUUAGAUGAGCCUAGGUCGGAUUAGCUAGUUGGUGAGGUAAUGGCUCACCAAGGCGACGAUCCGUAACUGGUCUGAGAGGAUGAUCAGUCACACUGGAACUGAGACACGGUCCAGACUCCUACGGGAGGCCAGCA